rnacentral:tRNA from 1 species
GGCGGGUGAGGGUCUGGGAGCCGACCGGCUUGAAGUCGGCCAGCUGGGUGCCCACCCCGUUGUCCAGGGGGUCGACACCCGUGCCCGCCA